GGGCCCGUAACUCAGCCUGGACAGAGUGCCUGCCUUCUAAGCAGGAAGUCGCGAGUUCGAAUCUCGUCGGGCCCG
rnacentral:tRNA from 1 species